rnacentral:rRNA from 1 species
UACGAAGGGGGCUAGCGUUGUUCGGAAUUACUGGGCGUAAAGCGCGCGCAGGCGGUCCUUCAAGUCAGAGGUGAAAGCCCAGAGCUCAACUCUGGAACGGCCUUUGAGACUAGAGGACUUGGGUACGGGAGAGGUGAGUGGAAUUCCGAGUGUAGAGGUGAAAUGCGUAGAUAUGCGGAGGAACACCGAUGGCGAAGGCAAUCCCCUGGGCCUGCACUGACGCUCAUGCACGAAAGCGUGGGGAGCAAACAGG